rnacentral:rRNA from 1 species
GGAUCCAGACUUUGAUCCUGGCUCAGGAUGAACGCUAGCUACAGGCUUAACACAUGCAAGUCGAGGGGCAGCGGGAUUGAAGCUUGCUUCAAUUGCCGGCGACCGGCGCACGGGUGAGUAACGCGUAUCCAACCUUCCGUACACUCAGGGAUAGCCUUUCGAAAGAAAGAUUAAUACCUGAUGGUAUGAUGAGAUUGCAUGAUAGCAUCAUUAAAGAUUUAUCGGUGUACGAUGGGGAUGCGUUCCAUUAGGUAGUAGGCGGGGUAACGGCCCACCUAGCCAACGAUGGAUAGGGGUUCUGAGAGGAAGGUCCCCCACAUUGGAACUGAGACACGGUCCAAACUCCUACGGGAGGCAGCAGUGAGGAAUAUUGGUCAAUGGACGAGAGUCUGAACCAGCCAAGUAGCGUGAAGGAUGAAGGUCCUACGGAUUGUAAACUUCUUUUAUAAGGGAAUAAACCCUCCCACGUGUGGGAGCUUGUAUGUACCUUAUGAAUAAGCAUCGGCUAACUCCGUGCCAGCAGCCGCGGUAAUACGGAGGAUGCGAGCGUUAUCCGGAUUUAUUGGGUUUAAAGGGAGCGCAGACGGGUCGUUAAGUCAGCUGUGAAAGUUUGGGGCUCAACCUUAAAAUUGCAGUUGAUACUGGCGUCCUUGAGUGCGGUUGAGGUGUGCGGAAUUCGUGGUGUAGCGGUGAAAUGCUUAGAUAUCACGAAGAACUCCGAUUGCGAAGGCAGCACACUAAUCCGUAACUGACGUUCAUGCUCGAAAGUGUGGGUAUCAAACAGGAUUAGAUACCCUGGUAGUCCACACGGUAAACGAUGGAUACUCGCUGUUGGCGAUAUACUGUCAGCGGCUUAGCGAAAGC